UACGUAGGCAGCAAGCGUUGUUCGGAGUUACUGGGCGUAAAGGGUGUGUAGGCGGUUCCUUAAGUUUGCUGUGAAAUCUCCCGGCUUAACCGGGAGGGUGCGGUGAAUACUGAGGGACUAGAGUACGGGAGAGGGAUGUAGAAUUCCAGGUGUAGCGGUGAAAUGCGUAGAUAUCUGGAGGAAUACCGGUGGCGAAGGCGGCAUCCUGGACUAUAACUGACGCUGAGGCGCGAAAGCUAGGGGAGCAAACGGG
rnacentral:rRNA from 1 species